AUCGAGAGAUUUAUUGGGGAGGUGUUAAGCGGGGAGCUAAUAAAUGUUCAGUGCGUUUCGUUUUAAAUAUUCUUUUGGCUACUCGUUAAUACAAUGAAAUUUGCCAUUGUUGGCAAAUUCACCAACCUGAGGGGCACUCUUUUCCACGACACACACGAUUUGUUUGAAGACAUGGACAAUUUUUUCCAUGUCUAUUUUUGCAUGUUAUUUCUUUCAGGUUUUAGUUGCUGUCAGACAAUGUUUCCAUAUCUUUAGGCACAGUUCCUAUCUGCAGCCCUACAUGCAAAAAUAGACAAUG